rnacentral:rRNA from 1 species
UACGUAGGGUGCGAGCGUUAAUCGGAAUUACUGGGCGUAAAGCGUGCGCAGGCGGUGAUGUAAGUCAGAUGUGAAAUCCCCGGGCUCAACCUGGGAACUGCAUUUGUGACUGCAUCGCUGGAGUGCGGCAGAGGGGGAUGGAAUUCCGCGUGUAGCAGUGAAAUGCGUAGAUAUGCGGAGGAACACCGAUGGCGAAGGCAAUCCCCUGGGCCUGCACUGACGCUCAUGCACGAAAGCGUGGGGAGCAAACAGG